GAUGAAGAACGUAGUGAACGUGCGAAACGUAAUGUGAAUUGCAGAAUUCAGUGAAUCAUCGAAUCUUUGAACGCAUCUUGCGCUCCUUGGUAUUCCGAGGAGCAUGCCUGUUUGAGUGUCGUGAAAUACUCUCAAUUUCAAUCUUUCUUUUUGGGGGACUUGAAAUUGGAUUUGGGUGUUGUUGUGUUGAUUUCACAGCUCAUCCUAAAUGCAUUAGCGAUCUGCCUUCGAUCACACACAAUGUGAUAAGAAAAAGCAUUGUUAGCAUCAAGUCAGGGUUGCUUCGAACCGUCCUUUUGGACACCAUUUCUAUGUCAUUUGACCUCAGAUCAGGCAGGACUACCCGCUGAACUUAAGCAUAUCAAUAAGCGGAGGA
rnacentral:misc_RNA from 1 species